rnacentral:rRNA from 1 species
UACGUAGGGUGCAAGCGUUAAUCGGAAUUACUGGGCGUAAAGCGUGCGCAGGCGGUUGUGCAAGACCGAUGUGAAAUCCCCGGGCUUAACCUGGGAAUGGCAUUGGUGACUGCACGGCUAGAGUGUGUCAGAGGGGGGUGGAAUUCCCAGUGUAGCGGUGAAAUGCGUAGAUAUUGGGAGGAACACCGGUGGCGAAGGCGGCCCCCCUGGACCGGUACUGACGCUGAGGCGCGAAAGCGUGGGUAGCAAACGGG